AAAUACUGCAUAGCUAAAAACAAAAUACAACAUUCCAAAACUGUCCAAAAUCAAAAUCCAUGUGACCGAAAGGGGGUGGGUAGAAGCAUAACUUAUCAAGACCCACCCCUUGUUCCACAAAUUCAAUAAAUACACUCACUACUAAUUAAAUUCAUAGAUACACCCAGACACACACACACACACACAUAUAUAUAUAUAUAUAUACAU